CCCUAGCCCUGAUGGGAGCGGCAUCCUUUUUCUGGCUUCUUUAGCCAGGAAAAGAUAUAGCGGACAGCAGGAAAUAGC
rnacentral:sRNA from 2 species